rnacentral:rRNA from 1 species
GACGAACGCUGGCGGCGUGCUUAACACAUGCAAGUCGAACGCUGAAGCACCAGCUUGCUGGUGUGGAUGAGUGGCGAACGGGUGAGUAAUACGUGAGUAACCUGCCCUUGACUCUGGGAUAAGCCCGGGAAACUGGGUCUAAUACUGGAUGCUACAUGUCACCGCAUGGUGGUGUGUGGAAAGGGUUUACUGGUCUUGGAUGGGCUCACGGCCUAUCAGCUUGUUGGUGAGGUAAUGGCUCACCAAGGCGACGACGGGUAGCCGGCCUGAGAGGGUGACCGGCCACAAUGGGAAUGAGAAACGGCCCAGACUCCUACGGGAGGCAGCAGUGGGGAAUAUUGCAAAAUGGGGGAAAGCCUGAUGCAGCGACGCCGCGUGAGGGAUGACGGCCUUCGGGUUGUAAACCUCUUUCAGCAGGGAAGAAGCCACAAGUGACGGUACCUGCAGAAGAAGCGCCGGCUAACUACGUG